UAAGUCAUCUACUUUGUAGUUGUAUAAAAAGCCGUUUACUUUCCAACGUCAACGAAAAUGUGUUUGUUUUGAAAACGAAGUAAUCUUGCAGAAUGUGAAAAAGGGAGCCCAAAUUUAUGCGAUUUCAAAAGUAAAUCAGAAAACUUUUGUGAAUGUGUAAAACGGAGUUUUUUGCUUGGAAACAUGCCACAAAUAAUUGGACCAUUCAGAAUUCAGACCACAUACUUUCAAGGAUUGGCCUUGUGAUUUAUUAUAAAACAUGGCGAAUGCAAUAUGAAGUCUUUUAAACUCAAACGCCAUCGAAAUCAUCGGAAUCCUGGGAAGGAGAAUUUCCUCACCUUGGAUUUUCUUUUGAGUAUCAUCGCGUAAAUCAAGUUGUUCAUCAAUUUUCUUACCACCGAACGAGUACCGUUGCACAGUUUUGGUUGGUUUAUGUUUCGAAGCAUGAUUACUACGGAGCCAACCUUUAGACGUAAAUUUUGCGGUGGUAAGCGUGGGACAUCCAAGGAGUUAAAAAAACAUUUAGUUGGAAAUUAUGUUUGGGAAUACUUUGUUGAUGAGCUCGUUUUUUGGUCUGACAAAUUUACAGUAAUUCUGAGGAAAUUAAAUCAAUCUGCUCGAUUCGUCGACAGGUACUCGACCAUUA